rnacentral:rRNA from 1 species
AGAGUUUGAUCCUGGCUCAGGAUGAACGCUGGCGGCGUGCCUAACACAUGCAAGUCGAGCGAUUUACUUCGGUAAAGAGCGGCGGACGGGUGAGUAACGCGUGGGUAACCUGCCCUGUACACACGGAUAACAUACCGAAAGGUAUGCUAAUACGAGAUAAUAUGCUUUUAUCGCAUGGUAGAAGUAUCAAAGCUUUUGCGGUACAGGAUGGACCCGCGUCUGAUUAGCUAGUUGGUAAGGUAACGGCUUACCAAGGCGACGAUCAGUAGCCGACCUGAGAGGGUGAUCGGCCACAUUGGAACUGAGACACGGUCCAAACUCCUACGGGAGGCAGCAGUGGGGAAUAUUGCACAAUGGGCGAAAGCCUGAUGCAGCAACGCCGCGUGAGCGAUGAAGGCCUUCGGGUCGUAAAGCUCUGUCCUCAAGGAAGAUAAUGACGGUACUUGAGGAGGAAGCCCCGGCUAACUACGUGCCAGCAGCCGCGGUAAUACGUAGGGGGCUAGCGUUAUCCGGAAUUACUGGGCGUAAAGGGUGCGUAGGUGGUUUCUUAAGUCAGAGGUGAAAGGCUACGGCUCAACCGUAGUAAGCCUUUGAAACUGGGAAACUUGAGUGCAGGAGAAGAGAGUGGAAUUCCUAGUGUAGCGGUGAAAUGCGUAGAUAUUAGGAGGAACACCAGUUGCGAAGGCGGCUCUCUGGACUGUACUGACACUGAGGCACGAAGCGUGGGAGCAAC